rnacentral:rRNA from 1 species
UACAGAGGGGGCAAGCGUUGUUCGGAAUUACUGGGCGUAAAGGGCGCGUAGGCGGCAGGCCAAGCGUGCGGUGAAAGUCCGGGGCUCAACCCCGGAUCUGCCGUGCGGACUGGUUUGCUAGAGCACUGUAGAGGCGAGUGGAAUUCCGGGUGUAGCGGUGGAAUGCGUAGAGAUCCGGAAGAACACCGGUGGCGAAGGCGGCUCGCUGGGCAGUGGCUGACGCUGAGGCGCGACAGCGUGGGGAGCAAACAGG